UACGUAGGUGGCAAGCGUUUGUCCGGAUUUAUUGGGUUUAAAGGGUGCGUAGGCGGUCUUCUAAGUCAGUUGUGAAAUACUUCAGCUUAACUGGAGAGGUGCAAUUGAUACUGGAAGACUUGAGUACUGAUGAGGUAGGCGGGAUGGACGGUGUAGCGGUGAAAUGCUUAGAUAUCGUCCAGAACACCGAUACGAAGGCAGCUUACUAAGGAGUAACUACGCUGAGGCACGAAAAGUGUGGGGGAUACAAA
rnacentral:rRNA from 1 species